UAUAUACUCCCUCCAUCCAGAAUUACUUGUCGCAUAAAGGGAUAAAACCUGAUGUAUCUAGUACUAAAAUACAUCUAGAUACAUCCUUUUCUCCGACAAGUAUCUCCCGACGGAGGGAGUAUUCA
rfam:Triticum aestivum genome assembly, contig: Triticum_aestivum_CS42_TGACv1_scaffold_148199_2BS